AUUCAAGUAGCUUAUAUUUAGAGUGCAACACUGAAGAUGUUGAGGAAAUUAUUUAAUUCUUGAAUA
rnacentral:tRNA from 1 species